rnacentral:rRNA from 1 species
UACAGAGGGGGCAAGCGUUAUUCGGAAUUAUUGGGCGUAAAGGGCGUGUAGGCGGCUUGGCAAGUGGCUGGUGAAAUCCCUCGGCUUAACCGAGGAACUGCCAUCCAGACUGCUUUGCUUGAGGCCGGGAGAGGUGAGUGGAAUUCCCAGUGUAGCGGUGGAAUGCGUAGAUAUUGGGAGGAACACCAGUGGCGAAGGCGGCUCACUGGACCGGUUCUGACGCUGAGGCGCGAAAGCGUGGGGAGCAAACGGG